UAACUAAUAACAAUGGAUCUCUUGGCACUGAUAUCGAUGAAGAACGUUGCAAACUGCGAUAAAAUAGUGUGAAUUGCAUCUUUUGUGAAUCAUCAAAUCUUUGAACCCAAAUUGGACUGGUACCUUAAAUACCAGUCCAUGUUUGGUUGAGUGUUAUAA
rnacentral:rRNA from 1 species